CCUGCUCAGGACGAACGCUGGCGGCGUGCCUAAUACAUGCAAGUCGAACGAACUCUGGUAUUGAUUGGUGCUUGCAUCAUGAUUUACAUUUGAGUGAGUGGCGAACUGGUGAGUAACACGUGGGAAACCUGCCCAGAAGCGGGGGAUAACACCUGGAAACAGAUGCUAAUACCGCAUAACAACUUGGACCGCAUGGUCCGAGUUUGAAAGAUGGCUUCGGCUAUCACUUUUGGAUGGUCCCGCGGCGUAUUAGCUAGAUGGUGGGGUAACGGCUCACCAUGGCAAUGAUACGUAGCCGACCUGAGAGGGUAAUCGGCCACAUUGGGACUGAGACACGGCCCAAACUCCUACGGGAGGCAGCAGUAGGGAAUCUUCCACAAUGGACGAAAGUCUGAUGGAGCAACGCCGCGUGAGUGAAGAAGGGUUUCGGCUCGUAAAACUCUGUUGUUAAAGAAGAACAUAUCUGAGAGUAACUGUUCAGGUAUUGACGGUAUUUAACCAGAAAGCCACGGCUAACUACGUGCCAGCAGCCGCGGUAAUACGUAGGUGGCAAGCGUUGUCCGGAUUUAUUGGGCGUAAAGCGAGCGCAGGCGGUUUUUUAAGUCUGAUGUGAAAGCCUUCGGCUCAACCGAAGAAGUGCAUCGGAAACUGGGAAACUUGAGUGCAGAAGAGGACAGUGGAACUCCAUGCGUAGCGGUGAAAUGCGUAGAUAUAUGGAAGAACACCAGUGGCGAAGGCGGCUGUCUGGUCUGUAACUGACGCUGAGGCUCGAAAGUAUGGGUAGCAAACAGGAUUAGAUACCCUGGUAGUCCAUACCGUAAACGAUGAAUGCUAAGUGUUGGAGGGUUUCCGCCCUUCAGU
rnacentral:rRNA from 2 species